CGAGAGAACUUUGGUGCGGAUUCUUUUGAAAAUUUUAAGGAAUUUGCUUCUUACUAUGGAAACACGACUUUUUUUUUCGAAAAAUGUCACUUCCUACGACGGCUGUUAAUUUAUCUUUGCUCUACACACACAUUCACAUGAACCGUUUUCACAGCGCUCUCUCUCUCUCCGGUGCUAUGCGACACAGUCCAACUCCGAGCUUUAAUACUUUUCUACUUCUACUUCUCCCCUACUUCUUCGUGCAUGAAAAGGGACUUCGUUGAAACACUUUCUACCUUACUGUCUUUUCAGAAUCAAUCAGACCCUCGGGAGGAUUCCUAAGAUGGUCUCUAAAAUCUGAGAGUGAGAUUUCCGGGAAGAUCAUAUUUGGAGCGUCGGUUUUUACGGGUUAAGUCCACUCGACAAAAAGCGAGGCCCAGAUGGAUGCGUUAAAUUUAAGUACUUGUUCCAGACUCACAAGAAAGGACCUCUCACAAUUAAGCUGGUGAAGACGGAAGUAUCGUCGCCUCGGGAUUCCAUCAUGUUCGACCCGACAUCCCAGCCGACGUCAACCCCAAAACUGUCAACCAAAAUAUGGUCCUCCACUGGGCAGCGCCCGAUAGUGCUUCGUUAUAGAUAUUGGACACGAGUCUCAAUAAGUGUCAACGCUCUAAGUCCCUUUGUGCUUGAUUUCGUGGCAACAUUGAAAGACGGAGUCGGCAAGUACUCGGUAAAAAUUAAUGACCUGGAAGUUCGGUACACGCCUUGCGAAAAGCCUAGCCCACAGAGUAAAGGAGUCGAUGAUGAGGCAAAGAAGUGGAAACUCGGCUGGUACAAACGGUGCUUUUCCGAGCCAUUGGGAUCGAUCUCUCGGUCAUGGUCAUCUCUUAGCGGAUCGUCGAGAAGCUCAUCAUUCAAGCCAUCGACUUAAACCACCGGCUCAUAGCGCCCGUCGCGUCGGUCGGUUUCGCAUCGAUAUUUACGAUAUAAUUAUAAGAGAAUUUAAUGUAAUCUAAAAUGAUAUAGCACUAAAACACCACCUGGGAAAAAAAGCUCAUGAAGUAUUGAAAUAAUCGCUUUGCUCGUUCGUCUCGCCCGAAUUCUCGGGUUUUUUCAAUCGAAGAAAAGAAACCGGAGUAGAUUACGAUAUACUUACGAUACAUCUGUCGCAGGCAAAUAGUGAAAUCAGGCAUUUUGUCAAAUGCCUAGGCAGAUGGUUAAAUUUUGACGGUCUACAAAAUUUGUGAAUUCAUGGCGAAGAGCUCACGUUUUAUCACUAUUUAUUGAAAAAUAACUCAUCAAACCUACGAACUCUUUUUGUCUCUUCCUCUUCAAUUGCUUUAUCAUAUUUUUAAAUGUUGAAAUUCCAAAAAUUCUGUAUUUUAUGACAUGCUGAAAAUUUCAAGAUAACUGGCUGCUCAGAAGUUCAAAAUUGUUUAAAAUACUAUUGUGUGAUGCAACUUUUUACUGAGAAUUUUUUCUCGCGUGAUCAACGAAUAAUUUUGUGUAAAAUUAGGAAAAAAAUCAACAUUUCCAUCUAAAUUGGGAUAUUUGACUAUUUGCCUAGGCAUUUGACAAAAUGCCUGAUUUACUAUUUGCCUGCGACAUAUCGAUGACCACCCGAAAGAUCGCGUCCUCGCCAUUGUUUACUGGAGUAUUGUGUGACUAACUUGUAACCUAUUCCUUACGGCUUUUGUAUCAUUGAAAAGAUUGAAUAGAUCGAAGGAUAAAGUGCCAACUUUUAUGUUCAACAAUAAUCUCUACGAAAUAGUUGAACUUCAAAUAUAUUUUUCUCGGCUCUGACAUCAAAAAUAUGGAUUUAUUUUUUUCUGCUAAACACUGCCCAUAGUUUGAAGACCUAAGAUAUACAUGGAAAAAAAGAUUUCUUGAAAGUAGGAUAAGUUAGAAAGCAAAAUAAAAAAAACCACGUUUACCGAAAAUUGUUCUGUACACUGUUCUGAAAAAAAUAACAAUAUAAUUUUUUCAUAGUUAAUCAUGGCGGGUGAAAAUUCAAGAUUCAUCCUUGAAAUUCGGUUUCGAAACUGUCUCUCCGUCAUUCACUUUUCAUGAGAUAAAAAUGCAGACCGCUGAUCUGAAUAUUCCCCUGAUCAGAUUUCAUUAUUUCACCAAACUUCUAAUUUUAAUUGCAAAAAAUGCAAGAAUGAACAAUUCUGACCGGGCUUACUGGGACGGGCGAAACUUCAGAAUUUCGAGACUUUUCUACGGAGGACGUAUGAUCUAAACUAAAAGUAUUGAUUAGCAAGAUGGAUAGUGUAUGACGUAUUGAUUCACUAACACCAAACCAGUGCCCCAGUAACACCAACGCUUAAGAAGCACUUUGAGAACUGAUCUGUGACGUACUCUACCUAAUUAAUUUCACGGGUUGAAACAUUCAAUCGCCACAAAAAUGAUAUUCAUCUAAUCUCUGUUACCUCACUAGAUUGAGUCAUGUGAUGUGAGUAGGUAACAGCUUGUGGUGGGCUGCAUGCAGUUCGAGCUUGUUCGUUAAACUCCUAUAGUGAUACAUUUCAGUAGCGCUAAGUUUCAAGAGAGAGAAUAUUUUAAUUUAUUGUUCAAAAAGUACUCGUCGCGAAUUAACCUACAACUGUGUUCAUCCUCUGAAGCUCUGUCUACGCGCGGUCAGAGAUUUUUUGAAAAUUAAGUGGGGGGGAUGGGCACUGGCAAUGUUCAGUGUACAGGGUGAUCCAAAAGUCCCGCACCCCCGGCACCAAGAAUCACCCCUGUAACUUUUCAAUAAAUUGAGAUAUGGAGAUUCGAAAUUUUAAGAGUGGUCCAAGGUCACAGGGAAGCGAAGGUGGGGAACCCCCAAGAUUGUAAGGGGUCCUCCAUGAAAUAUAGGGCAAAAUCCCUUGGGGUUAUGCGGGUGGUGCGGAACGGAAUGAAUCACCCUAUAUACAAGCACAGUAUUUUUAAAUCCUGUUAGGAUUUGCAUGACAGCAAUGAUACAGACGAGGCUUCUCGGCAACUGGUGUUACCUAUUUUUAUGCUGGGUGCUGGUGAUUUUCCAUGGAAUUCGAUCAUAUUCUUGCCGCACGACCACCCAUCAUCCAGACGCGAGAGAAGGUGAGUGCUCCUCACGCAUUUUUUUUGUCAGCGGGUCUGCAAAUGUCAGGAAAUUAAUAAGUGGCUGCUCUGCAAGGUUUUCAUAAGGCCACUUCUUUAGGAAAAAAGUUUGACCGUCCGCCUACCCUCCAAGAAGAAACCUUCUCUUUAUUCAGUCCUACACUCCCAUCUCCUAAAAAUAUGUUCAACAAAAAAGAAUGGGUAUCGAUCAGUGUUCGAAACUCACCUUUGAAUUUUAGGAGCCAUGUGGCGCAUCAAGCCCGAUUUUUAGGCGCCAUUGGAACCAAAUUGACUUUAUGCCUAUAUAUUACGGCGCAUUUAGUGAAAAGUUAGACGCAAGAUGUUUUCGUAACAGAACAAGUAGUAGCUGUAACUUGGGGAAGACAAAAGCACUAAGAAUGAAAUCGUGAAGAAUAGAAAAAGCAAGCUUUCACUUGUAAUGCUGAAAAUUCUGAGUUUUUUCAAUUCAAAUAGAUUUGUUUUUCUUUCUU
rnacentral:lncRNA from 1 species